rnacentral:rRNA from 1 species
UACGUAGGGCGCAAGCGUUGUCCGGAAUUAUUGGGCGUAAAGAGCUCGUAGGCGGCUUGUCACGGUCGGGUGUGAAAGCCCGGGGCUUAACCCCGGGUCGUGCAUUCGAUACGGGCAGGCUAGAGUGUGGUAGGGGAGAUCGGAAUUCCUGGUGGUAGCGGUGAAAUGCGCAGAUAUCAAGGAGGAACACCGGUGGCGAAGGCGGAUCUCUGGGCCAUUACUGACGCUGAGGAGCGAAAGCGUGGGGAGCGAACAGGA